UUGACAGUUAAAGGCUGGAGUGUUUACAAAUUAUCCCGAGGUGGUGGUACUCGCUAACAUAAGCCACUAACGCAAUUUUCCAUUGUUUAGGUUCGGCUGCAAGCGUUCUUAGACCUACUAAAGAUGUCAUCCUUGGGCGGAAUUAAGUUGCCGAGCCGCCUCCCGUUGCUUUUGACCCACGAAAGUGUUCUCCUUCCUGGCUCGACUGUUCGCUUCAACGUAGAUACUCCUCGGAACAUGCACUUGAUCAAGCACCGUUUGCUCAAGGGGACUUCGCUCAAAAGCACCAUUAUUGGAGUGAUUCCCAACACCAGAGACCCCGCGAAGGAUGCCGACGACCUCCCCACUUUGCACAAGAUUGGCACAGCUGGGAUUGCAGUUCAGGUAGUGGGCAGUAACUGGCCAAACCCACACUAUAGCCUUCUCAUCACUGGAUUGUGCCGGUUUAGUGUGUCAAGCCUGCUGACGGAACAACCAUUUAUUCUGGCUGAGGUGGAGCAGUUGGAUAAACUGGAACAGUACACCACUCCAGCAGAGGGUGUCUCGGCAGGAGAUGGAGAGCUGCAGGAAUUGUCACAAAUAUUCUACCAGACAGCUCUGCAGUUGUUAGGUAUGCUGGACAUGUCUGUUCCAGUAGUGGCCAAAUUCAGACGUCUUUUGGACAACCUUCCCAAGGAAACUCUGCCUGAUGUUGUUGCCUCCAUGAUCCGCACUUCAAACAAGGAGAAAUUACAGGUACUGGAUGCCGUUAGCUUGGAGGAGCGUUUUAAGAAAACAUUGCCCAUGCUCACCAGACAGAUAGAAGGAUUUAAAUUGCUGCAGAAGACACGGAAAAUGAUGCCUGACCCAGAAAAGACGGUGCUAUCCGUGCGUAAAGGUGGCAUGUUUCCGGGGCGACAUUUCAAUCUGAAUGAGGAAGAUGAGGAAGAGGAGAGUGAUGAUACAGCCUCCCUGGUGAGGAAAGUUCAUGCGGCCAACAUGCCGGAUGCAGCUCUCAGAGUUUGCUUAAAAGAGGUCAAAAGAUUGAAGAAGAUGCCGCAAUCCAUGCCUGAAUAUGCCCUCACUCGAAACUACUUGGAUUUGAUGGUAGAGCUUCCAUGGAGCAAAAGCACCAAAGAUUGCUUGGAUAUCCGAGCUGCCCGGACAUUGUUGGACAAUGACCACUACGCAAUGGACAAGCUAAAGAGACGAGUAUUGGAGUACCUGGCUGUCAGACAGCUGAAAGCUUCACUGAAGGGCCCGAUCCUGUGCUUUGUGGGACCACCGGGAGUCGGUAAGACCAGCGUGGGGCGCUCCAUCGCCAAGACUCUAGGCAGAGAGUUUCAUCGCAUCGCUCUUGGGGGUGUUUGUGACCAGUCGGACAUCCGAGGACACAGGCGUACGUAUGUAGGCAGCAUGCCGGGCCGCAUCAUCAACGGUUUGAAGAUGGUGGGUGUCAAUAAUCCAGUUUUCCUCCUGGAUGAAGUGGAUAAACUGGGGAAGAGUAUGCAAGGAGACCCUGCAGCUGCACUGCUAGAGGUGCUUGACCCGGAGCAGAACCACAGCUUCACAGACCACUAUCUCAACGUGGCUUUCGAUCUCUCUCAAGUGCUCUUCAUCGCCACGGCCAACACCACUGCAACCAUCCCCCCCGCCCUGCUGGACAGAAUGGAGGUGCUGCAGGUGCCCGGAUACACGCAGGAGGAGAAAGUGAAGAUAAGUCACCGGCACCUGAUCCCUAACCAAUUGGAGCAGCACGGAUUAUCAACUAAGCAGCUGCAUAUACCUCCAGACACCACCAUGGACAUAAUUAACAGGUACACACGUGAGGCUGGUGUACGCUCACUGGAGAGGAAAAUUGGAGCCGUCUGCCGGGCCGUUGCUGUAAAGAUCGCUGAAGGCCAAACACAUUCUAAGAGUGAAGAAUUGACUCCAGAGGAUCACACACAACAGGGAGAGAAGGCAGCCCCCCCGGCGAUGCCAAUUAUAAUAGACCACAGGGCUCUUAAAGACAUCCUGGGAGCUCCGCCCUUCGACAUGGAGGUGUCGGAGCGGCUUACUCUACCUGGAGUGGCCCUGGGCCUUGCCUGGACUCCUCUGGGUGGUGAGAUCAUGUUUGUGGAGGCCAGUCGAACAGAGGGCGAGGGUCAGCUGACUCUCACGGGUCAGCUAGGCGACGUCAUGAAGGAAUCGGCGCAUCUCUCCAUCAGCUGGCUUAGAGCUAACGCCAAACGCUACGGGCUCACAAACAUGGUGGGGGCUCCAGACCCUUUAGAAGGGACAGACAUCCAUCUUCACUUCCCUGCUGGAGCUGUGACCAAGGAUGGCCCAUCUGCUGGCGUUACCAUAGUAACCUGCCUGGCCUCUCUCUUCAGUGGACGACUGGUCCGGUCAGACGUCGCCAUGACCGGAGAGAUCACGCUGAGAGGCCUGGUUCUUCCGGUGGGCGGUAUUAAAGACAAAGUGCUGGCGGCUCACAGGGCGGGCGUCAAGCGAGUCAUUGUGCCCAAACGUAACGAGAAGGACCUGGAGGAGCUUCCGGCGAAUGUGCGAGACGGCCUGGACUUUGUCACCGCAGCCAACCUGGACCAGGUGCUGAACGCUGCUUUCAACGGAGGCUUUCCCGUGACAGACGAUAUGCGUCAACUCCCUCAGCUCAGCAGCAAGCUGUAGCGUGGCUCAUUGGUACGACCCUCCCGCGUGCAUGCAAACAAACUCCCAAGUUUCCAUGUGUCACCAGUCACCAAUUCAAGGCUCCUUCUAUCAAUAAAAUAAAAUAUGCUUGCUUUUUACAUGUAAAAAGGAAAGCAAUUGCUCAUUUGGUGUAUUGUUAUAUUUUUCAUUAUAUAAUUUUGGUCCCAGAAUCUUGCACACAAAAAAUCACAUUCAAAGUAAUCACACAAAAUACAUUCAAAUAAAAAGUAAAGGCCAUAAAUGAUUUAAAAGCAUGACAAGGGAGUAUUUAUACAAUGCUAAUUUCACUUAUUGCGGGGGGAGUGAAGAAUUAAUUGGUUGAUUCCAACUUGACUUGAAAACUUGUUAAAAAAAAAUCUCUAACAUUGUGA